rnacentral:rRNA from 1 species
ACUCCUACGGGAGGCAGCAGUAGGGAAUCUUCCACAAUGGGCGCAAGCCUGAUGGAGCAACACCGCGUGAGUGAAGAAGGGUUUCGGCUCGUAAAGCUCUGUUGUUAAAGAAGAACACGUAUGAGAGUAACUGUUCAUACGUUGACGGUAUUUAACCAGAAAGUCACGGCUAACUACGUGCCAGCAGCCGCGGUAAUACGUAGGUGGCAAGCGUUAUCCGGAUUUAUUGGGCGUAAAGAGAGUGCAGGCGGUUUUCUAAGUUCUGAUGUGAAACGCCUUCGGCUUAACCGGGAGAAGUGCAUCGGAAACUGGAUAACUUGAGUGCAGAAGAGGGUAGUGGAACUCCAUGUGUAGCGGUGGAAUGCGUAGAUAUAUGGAAGAACACCAGUGGCGAAGGCGGCUACCUGGUCUGCAACUGACGCUGAGACGUCGAAAGCAU